UCCUGUCCUUCCAGGGGAGCAGAGAGGUGACUUCCUGUUGGCGGUACUAUCUAAGCCUGAGGGAAGGUGAUUUUCCCAUUCCCUGAGAGCUGGAGCUUCCUGCUUUCCAGCUAUCUGGAGAUCCUGAGAUCUGGUUCAUCCCUGUCUCUACCUGUGUUCCUAUAAGAUUCCGGAUCCCAAGAGUUUCUGACUACUAUGAGAGAGAGCUGAAACCUUGUUGGUGUUGGAGGUGAUCCAGGAGGACCUGAGAGUUCCAGCCAAGAUGACUGUGGAUCCAGGGCUGCAAGGAGGAUGGUGCAGCCCAUCAGCCUGGCAUAGGACUCGAGCCCCUGAGGUGGUCUGGACUUGGGACUGGGACCAUGACCUAUAAGAACCAAGGCGCCUAUGAACCAGACUUGAAGAGAGAGAGGUUUUUCAGGACAAGCCAAGAUGCAAGAAACAAGGCUAGAGACCUGACCUGCUUAUCAAUCAAGAAGAAGGUUCCAAAUGGAAUGUUCCCAGGGGAGGCAGGCCACAGGAGGAGAAGAAGAAGCAGGAUCUAAAACUUCUGACUCUGUCUCUGGCCCUGGCAGUUGAGCCUGAGUAAAGGGGAAGAAGCUAAGAACUACCUCUCUAUGUAUAACAUAUUAUGUAUAAUAUAAUAAUGAUAAGAUAAAAACUAUGAUAAUGAUAAAAAUUUUAAAAGUUACAAAUAUCAUAUUUUUAUGUAGGAACAAUUUGACCUUGUUGAGUUCCUUAAUUUUUUUCUUUCUUAUUUACCUUUUUAUGCUUCUCUUUAAUUUUGUGUUUGGACAUCAGAUUUUCUGUUUGUGUCUGGUUUUACUUUAGGAAUGCUUGGAUUUUCCCCUGAAAGAAUAUAAUUUUGAUGGGUAGGUGAUUCUUGGUUGUAAACCCAGUUCCCUUACCUUCUAGAAUAUCAUAUUCCAAGUCUUCUGAUCCUUGAAUAUAGAAGCUGCCAGAUACUGUGAAAUCCUGACAGGGGUCCUAUGAUAUUGGAAUUGUUUCUUUCUGGCUGGUUGUAGUAUUUUCACUUUGACCUGGAGCAAUUAAACUUGGCUAUAAAUAUUCCUGGGAGUUGUUAUUUGGAGAUUUAUUGUAGGAGUUGAUCUGUGGAUUUAUUCAAUUUCUAUUUUUUAUUUUACCCACUUGUUCAAGAAUAUCAGGACAAGGAGCAGCUGGGUAGCUCAGUGGAUUAACUCUCAGUAGACAGUUAGGCCUAGAGAUGGGAGGUCCUAGGUUCAAAUCUGACCUCAGACACUUCCCAGAUGUGUGAUCCUGGGCAAGUCACUUAACCCCCCAUUGCUAGCUUUUAUCACUCUUCUGCUGUGGAGUCAACUCCAAGAUGGAAGGUAAGGGUUUUUAUUUAAAAAAAAAAAGAAUAUCAGCAUAAGUUUCUUUGAUAAUUUCUUGUAAUAUGAUAUCUAACCAUUUUUUUUAUCAUGAUUUUCAGGUAGUCAGAUAAUUCUUAGAUGGUCUCUCCUGGAUCUUUUUUCCAGGUCAGUUGUUUUUUCAAUGAGGUAUUUCAAUUUUCUAAAAUUUUUUCAUUCUUUUGAUUUUGUUAUAUUGUUUCUUGAUGUUUCAUGAAGUCAUUAGCUUCUAGGUGCCCAAUUCUAAUUUUUAAAUAACAAUUUUCUUCCAUGAUCUUUUGAUUAUCUUUUUUCCAUUUAGUGCAUUCUACUUAUUAGAAUAGAGAAAUAAGAAGGUACAGUUGUAAAAGAUAGGGUUUGAAAAUCAAGUAUCUCAUAGUUGGAAAUCAAAGAAAAGGGUUCCAAAAAGCAAUGGCAGGACAAAAUAAAAUGGGGAUUUGAAGCUUGGAGCUGAGAGCUGGCUCUUGUGUUCUUUGGAACUUGGAGGGAUAACUUCCCGUUGGAGUUAACUGACUUCCCUGAGAGGUGUGAAGAUUGGAUUUGGCUCUCCCCUGAUUGUAACAAUGAAGAAAAGUCACUUAGCCUCUCAUCCAAAGAACAAGUGUAUCCCCUCCUUAAUUCAUCCUUCUAUGAGACAGUUGAGCAUAAUGGAAAGAGAAAAUAAUGUUGAAUCAGAGGACCUGGGUUUGAAUAUUGUUUCUACUAAUUACUAAAUGAGGUAGGGGAAAGAAAUGAGGGUCAAAGAGAUUGUGACUUACUUGCCCAAGAUCAUAAACUUAAUAGAAGCCCUGAGUGUUCCAGUCAACACCUAUGUUGAGAAGGAAAGACAGGAGAGGAAAAGGCAGGGCUAGCAUUCAGUGGUCAUCUCUCACUCAGAUUGAUUCUUUGGAUUUGAAACAAAUUCUCAGUUGCUGCCACUUGAGGCUUACCUCUGCUUGUAGAAUUUUCUGGAUCUUUUUUUAUAUAGGACAUCCCCUGGCUUUGGAUCUGUACUCAUGUGACUUUCUGGUCAGCCAUCUAGUCUACUGACCUUUGUAAAUUCCUACAUUUGAGUUGCUUUUCAGUUUACACAUUUAAAACAUUUUUCCUGGACACAAUAGGACCAUAACUUCCCAUUUUGGGACACUGUCCUAUUUAUGCAACUAACAACACAUAAUUUUUCUUCUAUGUUUAUUAAUAUUAUGCUUGCAGUUCACUAAUGUCCCUGGUUUCUGCUAACACACUUAUCUAACCACACCCUGCCCUUUUUGCACUUGUGUAAUUGAUUUUUUGAAUCCCUAUAAGACUUUAUAUUUAUCUUUAUUAAAUUUCAUUUGAUAAGAUUUGGUAACUCCCAGUUCUCAGAUUUUUUGGUCUCAGGACCCCUUCUUCUACAGCAGGAUGAACAUGGAAAUAUUUAUUCCAAUAUAGCACAUGUGUAAUUUAUAUUAUCUGCCAUUUUGGGGAGGAGGAGGUGAGGGAGGGAGAGGACAUGGGUCACAAAAUGUCAGAAAAGUGAUUAUUAAAAAUUGUAUCUACAUGUAAUCUGGAAAAGAAAAAUAUAAUAAAAAUUAAAACAAAAAAACACACAAAUGAGACUAUUAGAACUGGAGAAGACCUUUGAGAUCAUCUAUUCUAAACCUCUCACUUUAUAUCUGAGGGAACUAAAACAAAGAAUGGAAUCACUUGCCAAAAGUCACAUAGCUAGGAAGUGAUCCAACCAGUAUUCCAAUCUAGGUUUCAUCCCAGAAGACCAGAAUUAAUUAAAAAAAGUUUAUUGAUGCCAUAUA